rnacentral:rRNA from 1 species
AUUGGACGCUGGCGGCAUGCCUUACACAUGCAAGUCGAACGGUAACAGGUCUUCGGAUGCUGACGAGUGGCGAACGGGUGAGUAAUACAUCGGAACGUGCCCGAUCGUGGGGGAUAACGAGGCGAAAGCUUUGCUAAUACCGCAUACGAUCUACGGAUGAAAGCGGGGGAUCUUCGGACCUCGCGCGGACGGAGCGGCCGAUGGCAGAUUAGGUAGUUGGUGGGAUAAAAGCUUACCAAGCCGACGAUCUGUAGCUGGUCUGAGAGGAUGAUCAGCCACACUGGGACUGAGACACGGCCCAGACUCCUACGGGAGGCAGCAGUGGGGAAUUUUGGACAAUGGGCGAAAGCCUGAUCCAGCCAUGCCGCGUGCAGGAUGAAGGCCUUCGGGUUGUAAACUGCUUUUGUACGGAACGAAAAGCCUCUUUCUAAUAAAGAGGGGUCAUGACGGUACCGUAAGAAUAAGCACCGGCUAACUACGUG